rfam:Loxodonta africana unplaced genomic scaffold scaffold_73, whole genome shotgun sequence.
GCAAUGGUGGGUCAGUGGUAGAACUCUCGCCUUCCAUGUGGAAGAUCCAGGUUCGAUUCCCAGCCAGUGUA